rnacentral:rRNA from 1 species
AGGAUGAACGCUGGCGGUCUGCUUAACACAUGCAAGUCGAACGGAGUAGCAAUACUUAGUGGCGGACGGGUGAGUAACGCGUGAGAAUCUACCUUCAGGACGGAGACAACAGUUGGAAACGACUGCUAACCCCCGAUGUACCGCAAGGGCAAAUAUUUAUAGCCUGAAGAAGAGCUCGCGUCCGAUUAGCUAGUUGGAGAGGUAAAAGCUCACCAAGGCGACGAUCGGUAGCUGGUCUGAGAGGACGAUCAGCCACACUGGGACUGAGACACGGCCCAGACUCCUACGGGAGGCAGCAGUGGGAAUUUCCGCAAUGGGCGAAAGCCUGACGGAGCAAGACCGCGUGGGGGAAGAAGGCUCUUGGGUUGUAAACCCUUUCUCUGGGAAGAACGCAAUGACGGUACCAGAGGAAUCAGCAUCGGCUAACUCCGUGCCAGCAGCCGC